rnacentral:rRNA from 1 species
GACGAACGCUGGCGGCGUGCCUAAUACAUGCAAGUCGAGCGAUGAAGCUUGGUGCUUGCACCAAUUUGAAGAGCAGCGAACGGGUGAGUAACGCGUGGGGAAUCUGCCUUUGAGCGUGGGACAACAUUUGGAAACGAAUGCUAAUACCGCAUAACAACUUUAAACAUAUGGUUUAAUUUUGAAAGAUGCAAUUGCAUCACUCAAGGAUGAUCCCGCGUUGUAUUAGCUAGUUGGUGAGGUAAAGGCCCACCAAGGCGAAGAUACAUAGCCGGACUGAGAGGGUGAGUGGGCAACAUGGGAAUGGGGAAACGCCCAAACCUCCAAGGGAAGCAGCAAGAGGGGAACCUCCGGCAUGGGGGAAAGUCUGACCGAGCAACGGCGGGGGGGGGAAGGAGGGUCUCGGAUUGUAAAACUCUGUUGGUAGGGAAGAACGAUAGUGAGAGUGGAAUGUUCAUGAAGUGACGGUAACUAAUCAGAAAGCGACGGCUAACUACGUG